rnacentral:rRNA from 1 species
GCAAGUCGAGGGGCGGCAUUUCCAGCUUACUGGAAGAUGGCGACCGUCGCACGGGUGAGUAACGCGUAUGAAAUCUGCCUUUUACCGGAGGAUAGCCCCGGGAAACCUGGAUUAUCACCCCAUAGAAUUUAUAGUUCGCAUGGGCAAUAAAUUAAAACUCCGGUGGUAAAAGAUGAUCAUGCGUAGCAUUAGUUAGUUGGUAAGGUAACGGCUUACCAAGACGAUGAUGCUUAGGGGUUCUGAGAGGACAAUC